AUGACGUACACAGUGCAAACUUUCAUAAAGCACUACUCAUAUAAUAAUAGCCUAUUAUGUGACAGUGAGUAUUGAAAUGU